AUUGAACGCUGGCGGCAUGCCUUACACAUGCAAGUCGAACGGCAGCACGGGAGCAAUCCUGGUGGCGAGUGGCGAACGGGUGAGUAAUAUAUCGGAACGUGCCCAGUCGUGGGGAUAACGUAGCGAAAGCUACGCUAAUACCGCAUACGAUCUAUGGAUGAAAGCGGGGGAUCGCAAGACCUCGCGCGAUUGGAGCGGCCGAUAUCAGAUUAGGUAGUUGGUGAGGUAAAGGCUCACCAAGCCGACGAUCUGUAGCUGGUCUGAGAGGACGACCAGCCACACUGGGACUGAGACACGGCCCAGACUCCUACGGGAGGCAGCAGUGGGGAAUUUUGGACAAUGGCGCAAGCCUGAUCCAGCAAUGCCGCGUGCAGGAUGAAGGCUUUCGGGUUGUAAACUGCUUUUGUACGGAACGAAACGGUGAGCUCUAAUACAGUUUGCUAAUGACGGUACCGUAAGAAUAAGCACCGGCUAACUACGU
rnacentral:rRNA from 1 species